AUUAGUGGCGAACGGGUGAGUAAUAUAUCGGAACGUACCUUGUAAUGGGGGAUAACUAGUCGAAAGAUUAGCUAAUACCGCAUACGCCCUGAGGGGGAAAGUAGGGGAUCUUCGGACCUUAAGUUAUAAGAGCGGCCGAUAUCUGAUUAGCUAGUUGGUGGGGUAAUGGCCUACCAAGGCGACGAUCAGUAGCUGGUCUGAGAGGACGACCAGCCACACUGGAACUGAGACACGGUCCAG
rnacentral:rRNA from 1 species